GGCUCCAUAGUGUAGUGGUUAGCAUGUCUGCUUUACAGGCAGAAGGUCCUGGGUUUGCACCCCAGGUGGCACCA
rfam:Pteropus alecto contig62488, whole genome shotgun sequence.